UUUUUUUUUUUUUUUUUUUUUGGUUGUUGUUGGUCUCAGCUGUGGGUAUUCAAGAUAUGGAUGCAUUUGUUGGCUUUGAAGCAGAUAGAUGGCCCUUGAAGGUAAUUGGACUUUUUCCUGCCAGCAUGUCUCUCAACUUUUCCGAAGGGAGGGCAGGGAACAAUAAGGCAGUUACUGGGGCUAGUGGCCUUGUACGCGACAUUUCUGCUUUUUGAGUUUAAUUUUACUCUGCCUAGGAGCACACAAGAGCAGCUUUCUUUUUUAGGGCUGCACCCACGGCAUAUGGAAGUUCCCAGGCUAGUGGUGGAAUGGGAGCUGUAGCUGCCAGCCUACGCCACAGCCACAGCAAUGCAGGAUCCUUAACCCAGGGAUCCAACCUGCAUCCUCGUGGACACUAGUCAGGUUCAUUACCACUGAGCCAUGAUGGGAACUCCAAGAGCAGCCUUUCAAAAAAAAAAAAACCCAAAAAACAACGCCCCCUCCUCCCCAAAUCCAGGGGAGUUUACCUAUUUUAAUUUUUGUACUAGUUUACCAGGGAGGUCCUGGUACUAGACUAGGAACUUUUAGCUUAUCGUGAACAGGGAAAAGGAAAGAAUCCCUGCUGAAUUCAGGGGCCAUUUGGUUGCAAGAUGCAGAAACUGACUGGCACCAGUUUAAGCAAGUGGAAUCUAAGACCUGAAAGUACAGCUGAGCUAAUGAGGGCUUGGAAUUGGAAGCUAGGAGGUCUUCCGGAAGCAAGAUGCCCGUUCUUUUCAUCGUUCUCUCAUGCCCGCUCUUGACUGCUCUUUCUCUCCAUAGUGUAUUUCAUUGCCCCUCUUCUAGGAUAUCUGCUUCAUCCUCUUCCCCUUCCUGUGGUCGGGUUUUCUUGGCUUGCUCGUGCAUCCACACGAUCCCCAAAUUUCCAGCCUUGAGUGUCUCCAUUUCCUCUGGACUGCCUCUCCGCUCCCAGUGACUACUGCUAAUUACUGCAGUUUUGCUCUCUGUUUACUUGAGAGAGAGGAGCCCUAAUUGGCUCAGUUUGGGUCAGACGUCCAGCUCAUGCCAAGUCAGGUUUGAUGGGUGUGGUGGCACCAGGACCACUAAAUCUAUCACUUACCUUUGUAGACUCUAUGAGGGUAGCAUUGCCGAAGAAGAGCAUGUUCGCUGGGCAUUUAGGCACCCAUCCUAAUUGCGAUAUAGUAGGAUCCGGUAUUUCUCUCUCUCUCACACACACACGAGGAAAUGGUUUAAUGACAAGCAAAUGGUAUCACAUGUGAAAUAUGGCUGAUACAGAACACCUGAGUUCAGCGGUCCUUAAGCACUAGAGGACAUAACCCACCCUUGGAGAGCCUGUUAAAGAUGCCGAUGCCGGGGCUUCCUUCAGGGCCCCCGACUGAGUGGUGUGGCAACAGGAACCAGUACUUUUCAAUAAGCCCCUCAGGUGAGUCCACUGAAAGUGGUCCCCAUACCUCAUCUUGAGAAAGCCUUGGUUUCUCAGCUUAUUGUGCGCGUGUAUUUGGGUGUGACAAAGUGACAGGAGUGAAGGAUUUCUGGAACACUUCGUUUCGGUGGGGAACAAGGACCUCUGACUCCCUCGUAAUGACGGGAACAGGUUAGGCGGCGAGAAUGAACUGCAUCUUACAUCUAAGCUUCCACUGCGAUCUGGUCACGUGGGUGUAUAAACAGUUCGGGAACCUAUUCAGGGAAACCCCAAGUGCUUUCAUUUUAGUAGAUGUAGUUCCUGUCUGUAAAAGAAAAGGUAAGUUAAUUAUGAAAUAACAUGGUUGUAUUAAUAAUGUCGUUCCAGUCAGCGCGACGGUGAAACAUGCCAGAGUUGAUUAUGUUAGUUCGCCUGGGAGGGUUGACACUAAACUGUCAGGAGUGACAUUGAGAGAAGUCUCAGUGCCAUUAUUCCUACCUCACAGGAGCAUCAUCAGAAAGGACAAUUUAAUUUCUUUCAUCCUGGUUUCUAGGGUUUCAUACCUUCCCGAAAAUGCUAAUUUCGAAGAGCGCGGAUUGACUUUUUCAUCCCCAAGUUAAAAAUACACUCCACGUUUGCUGGCUUGCUGCUUCAUGUGUAUUUAAGAAUGGUUUCUGCUUUGCUGUUGGGCCAAACACCUACCUGACAACACCCAGGGUUUGGCAUGCUUUAUUGGAUGGAAAAAACAAAGCAGUGGAGGAAAAACGAAAUUAAAAAGAAAUUAAGAUGUGAGCUGUAUACAGCCAAGUACAUCAUCUUCUUUCCACAAGAAGCACAGAGGGUGGUUUUUCCAGGCGCACACAGGCGUGUGGCACCUGUGUUCAUUUAAAUGAUUACACAUUCAACAAAAUUUGAAUGUGUGAUGUGCAAUCAUUUGAAUCGCUCAUUAUACAUUAAAAUAAAUUGACACAAACACAACUCGUUCUCUGCUGCUUUUGAGAAAUGAAGUAAAUUAAAUGAAAGAACUGAAAUGAAGGUGCUGCCAGGCUGAAGAUCCCACAUACAAUAGAGUCAGAAAAUCCAACAUUCUGUCUUUGACCAUGAUCUUAUAACUUUCAGUGCUGGUGUGCAGUUAGGAAAGCAGAAAAAAGCAGGGGAGGGUCUGCCCCCCUGCCCAGGACCAUCCUGCCUGGGGCUCCCAGACCAUUUACUCCUCACUGGGCUUUGGGCACUAGCCCAGAGGACCAUGUAGCACAAAGGAAAACAGUAGGGAAAACAUUAAGGAAUAAGGCAAGUGGAAAGAGCAUUGUCCUCAGGGGAAGUCCAGGUGUUUUUCCCAGCUCUUCUGCUAUAACUGCCUAUAGUUGCUAUGUCUUCUUUUUUUUUUUUUAAUUGGUUAAUGAUUUCAGCAACCUACUAGAAUGGGGCUUCUGACUGCAUCCAUCCCCUGCAACUGUUUCAAGGCUCUUCAUCUUGCCAAAUCUAAAUGUCCCUUCUUUCUGGCCUUUCUCGACCUGUCAGCUUGAAAAGGAUGACCCCUGCCUCCUACCUGAAACAUCUCUUGCCUUCCACAACGACACUAGUUUUCCUCCUUUCUCAGGACAGUUCCUUCCGAAUCGCUUCCUCCUCCUUCCCUAAUCAAUGUUGGGAGGAUUGACAAGUGCCAGAGCUGCGUGUGGUCUUCUUUUCUCUCUCUAGGAGAGCAUAUCCAGUCUUACACAGGCAUGCAGAUGAAUCCAGACUAAGUGGAAAGGCAUCCUGAACUCUGCAUUCAUAUAUCCAAUGCUUACCUGACAGCCAGUCUUGGAGGUCUUCUUAAGAUCUGAAACUUAAAACCUGGUCAAAAAUAGAACUCUGAAUUUUGUACUGACUUUUUUUUUUUUUUUUUUUUUUUUNGCCUAUGCCCCAGCCAUAGCAACGUGGGAUCCAAGCCACAUCUGCAAACUAUGCUGCAGCGUGUGGCAACAUUGGAUCCUUAACCCACUGAGCGAGGCAGGGGAUCAAACCCACAUCCUCAUGGAUACUAGUGGGGUUCUUAACCUGCUGAGCCACAAAUGGACUCCUAUACUCAUCUCUUUUUUUCAUCUACCUAGUUGCUCAGCCAAAAAUAAAAAAGUUAUUUUAAACUCCUUUUUCUCCCUCGCUUCAUCCCACCUCCAAUUCAUGAGCAAGUCCAAACUUGCUACAUCAAAAUGUUUCACAAAGCCCUCAGUCACCAUUGCCCUUCUUCCUGACAACUAUGGUUAGCUGUCUCACAGGUUUCUCUCCUUCUAGUAGUAGCCAGAAUAUUCUUUUCCACCAAAUUUUCUCUGUCUUUUCUGAUAGCACCCUUCUCAAGCCACCAUCGUGUUUUUCCUCACAGCUCUGCCUUUGAAUUGAUCUCCUAACUGUGACCAGAAUACAAAUACGUUUGACAUUUCCUACAGCAACUCCCCAUUGCAUUUAGAAUAAAAUUUGAAUUUUACCCUAUCAUACAAAGCCUUGAAUGAUCUUCGACUGAAGUCUAGUGACCACACUUUCUACAAUACUUAAUUUCACAGAAUGUUCUUUUAAAAACUUAAAUCAGAUUUUGUCAUUCCCCAGAUUAAGAACCUUCAAAGUCUAGUAAUCCUUGCCCAUUGUUAUAUCUGUAAAGAAUAUUUUUGGCUCCAAGUAAUGGAAAAACUGAUUAAUGGUGCCUUAAAAAAGGAUUAAAUUUUCUCACAGAGCCAGCAAUCCUGAGUAGGCGGUCGGUGCUAUUGAUAUAGCUGUUUAAUGAUUCUGUCAAGUACUCAAGAGUCUCUUUUUUUUUUCUCUUCCAUCUUUCAUAGGUUAACACUUGACCUUAUGCCUAUUGCCUCAUGGACCCAAGAUGGCUCUUAUAGCUCCAGGCUAGGGGUCUAAUUGGAGCUGUAGCCACCGGCCUAUGCUAGAGCCACGUCUGCAACCUACACCACAGCUCACGGCAACACCGGAUCCUUAACCCACUGAGCAAGGCCAGGGAUUGAACCUGCAUCCUCAUGGGUCCUAGUCGAAUUCGUUAACCACUGUGCCACGACGGUAACUCCUCACCAUAACUAUUGGUGUGUGUGUGUGUGUGUGUGUGUGUGUUGAAGUUUGUAUUAGUUUGCUAAGAUUGCUAUAACAAAGCAUCACAGACUGAGUGUCUCAGUAUCUUAGUUCGGGCUGCUCUAACAAAAAAUAGCAUAGACUGGGUAGCUCACAUAACAGAAGUGUGUUUCUCAUACCGAAGGCUGGGAGGUCCAAGAUCAAAGCGACUGCCUAUUCAAUUACUGGUAAGAACCUCCUGCCUGGUUUGCAGAUGACACUUUCUUGCUGUGCCCUCACAUGGCAGGGACAGAAAAAGGAAGAAAACUCUCUUGUGUCUUCCUGUAAAGAUACUAAUUCCAUGGGGGGGGAGGGGGGCUCUACUUCCAUGACCUUCUUACCUCCAAAAGCCAUCACACUGGAGACUAAGGUUUCAACAUAUGAAUUUGGACGAACAUUCAGUCCACAGCACUUAAACAAUAGAAAUUGAUUGUCUUAUAGUUCUGGAGACUAGAAGUCUGAGAUUAAGGUGUUAGCAGAGUUGCUACCUUCUGAGAACUGUAAAGGAAGGAGCUGUUCCAAGCCUUUCUCCUUGACUUGUAGAUGGCUGCCUUCUCCCUGGAGCUUCAAAUCAUGUUCUCUUUGUAAAUGUCUAUAUCCAUAAGUUCUUGUUCUUUUUUUUCUGGCCACCCUGCAGCAUGCAGAAGUUCCCAGGCCAGGGAUCAGUCCUGAGCCACAGCAAUAACCAGAGUCCCUGCAGUGACAAUGUCAGAUCCUUAACUUGCUGAGCCACCAGGGAACUCAAAAUUCCUAUUCUUAAAAGGACAUCAGUCAUAUUGGGUUAGGGUUCACCCUCAUGGCUUCAUUUUAACUUGAUGACCUCUGUAAUGAUCCUAUCUCUAAAUAAAGUCAUAUUCUGAGGUUCUGGGGGUUAGUGAUUCAACAUAUAAAUUUAGGGAGAGGGCACAAUGCAACCAUAGCAAGUGCAACAAUUAUCUGUUGAGUGGAUGGAUUUUAAUGACAGCAACCAUUUACUGAAUGUUGACAACAUGCCAAGUGCUCCAUGAAGUGCUUCAUUUUAUUCUUUUAAUUUGCACAGUAAUCCAAUGAAAAGGGUACUACAUGUAUUCUUUUAGAAGUGAAAAAACAUCACAGCAAGAGAUGAGUGAAGAUAUGGAAGUAGAGCGGAUGUAAGGAAAGAAAACAAAGGCUGGUGUGUCUCCAGUAACAUGAGGAAAACAUCCUCUUUAUUACCUUUGCUUGGUCACACUGGACCAUGCGUUGACAAGGAGACUGAAAUAGAGAGUUUGUCACGGGGUCAGCCCACCUGUUUCUGCAGCAUCCAUAUUUUAGGCUUCCACAUUACACGGUUCCUGUCACUGCCACUGAAGUAUGAAGCAGGGAGUUCCUGUUGUGGUUCAAAGGGUCAAGAACCUGACCUAGUAUCCACGAGGAUGCGGGUUUGAUUCCUGGCCUUGCUCAGUGGGUUAAGUAUCCAGUGUUAUUGCAAGCUUCAGUGUAGCUUGCAGAUAUGACUCAGAUCUGGCAUUGCUAUGGCUGUAGCAUAGGCUGGCAGCUGCACCUCUGACUUGACCCCUAGCAUGGAAAUUUUCAUAUGCCACAGCUAUAAAAAGAAACCAACCAACCAAAAGAAGUAUGAAGCAGAUACAGAUAACACAUAAGCACAUAGCCGUGGUCAUGUUCCAAUAAAACUUUAUUUACCAAAGCCAGUGGCUUAGCCAGAUUUGGCCUGUGGGCCAUCAUGUGCUAAAACCUUGGUUGAGGAAAUUUUCACUUGAUUUUCUUUCCUUUUGUUUUCCUAAAAGUCAAUUGGUUUUUUGAAUUUGGAAAGCUGUCUUGUAGAGAAGGUUGUACAAAACCCGAAGGGGACCCUCAGAGAGUCUACAAGUGUCCUC
rnacentral:lncRNA from 1 species